rnacentral:rRNA from 1 species
UUGAACGCUGGCGGCAUGCCUUACACAUGCAAGUCGAACGGCAGCGGGCCCUUCGGGGUGCCGGCGAGUGGCGAACGGGUGAGUAAUGCAUCGGAACGUACCCGGGAGAGGGGGAUAACCGGCCGAAAGGCUGGCUAAUACCGCAUGAACUCGGAAGAGCAAAGCGGGGGACCUUCGGGCCUCGCGCUCUCGGAGCGGCCGAUGUCCGAUUAGGCUAGUUGGUGGGGUAAAGGCCCACCAAGGCGACGAUCGGUAGCGGGUCUGAGAGGACGAUCCGCCACACUGGGACUGAGACACGGCCCAGACUCCUACGGGAGGCAGCAGUGGGGAAUCUUGGACAAUGGGCGCAAGCCUGAUCCAGCAAUGCCGCGUGGGUGAAGAAGGCCUUCGGGUUGUAAAGCCCUUUCGGCGGGGAAGAAAUCGGUCAGGCGAAUAGUCUGGCCGGAUGACGGUACCCGCAGAAGAAGCACCGGCUAACUACGUG